rnacentral:rRNA from 1 species
ACUAUAUAGCUACUUGGUCAUUUAGAGGAAGUAAAAGUCGUAACAAGGUUUCCGUAGGUGAACCUGCGGAAGGAUCAUUAGUGAUUGGGCUCAGUCCCGACCUACAAACAUAUGUGAACCUGUGCCUCCGGGCUUUUCCAAACAUGGUGUGACGAACGUGAACUAAGCAAACCAGUAAAAACUUUCAACAACGGAUCUCUUGGCUCUCGCAUCGAUGAAGAACGCAGCGAAUUGCGAUAAGUAAUGUGAAUUGCAGAAUUCAGUGAAUCAUCGAAUCUUUGAACGCACCUUGCGCCUUUUGGUAUUCCGAAAGGCAUGCCUGUCUGAGUGUCGUGAAACAUCAACCCCUCGGGUUUUCCCAUGCGGGCUUGGACUUGGAUGCUGCCCUCUGGCUCGUCUUAAAUGCAUUAGUGGGAUAUCCCCCGUGUCGACGUGAUACGUUUCGUCUGGCAUGUGGUCUACUCCCGCUCACACUGGCCAAGCUUUAUGUUUGACCUCAGAUCAGGUAGGCUACCGCUGAACUUAAG